ACGGGUGCGGAACACGUACAGAACCUUCCUUCAAGCGGGGCAUAGCCCGGCGAAAGCCGGAUUAAUACCCCAUAGUAAAAUGGAGUGGCAUCACUUUAUUUUUAAAGAUUUAUCACUUGAAGAUGGCUGUGCGGCUGAUUAGGUAGUUGGCGGGGUAACGGCCCACCAAGCCUUCGAUCAGUAACUGGUGUGAGAGCACGACCAGUCACACGGGCACUGAGACACGGGCCCGACUCCUACGGGAGGCAGCAGUAAGGAAUAUUGGUCAAUGGACGCAAGUCUGAACCAGCCAUGCCGCGUGGAGGAUGAAGGCCCUCUGGGUUGUAAACUUCUUUUAUAUGGGACGAAAAUGGGCCUUUCUAGGUCAACUGACGGUACCAUUUGAAUAAGCACCGGCUAACUCCGUGCCAGCAGCCGCGGUAAUACGGAGGGUGCAAGCGUUAUCCGGAUUCACUGGGUUUAAAGGGUGCGUAGGUGGGUCAGUAAGUCAGUGGUGAAAUCUCUGGGCUCAACCCGGAAACUGCCAUUGAUACUAUUGGUCUUGAAUAUUGUGGAGGUUAGCGGAAUAUGUCAUGUAGCG
rnacentral:rRNA from 1 species